rnacentral:sRNA from 1 species
AAACUCAUUAACUUAAAUCACACACAUAUCGUUCGGGUAAAUCGGGGUGCCAAACGGUCGAUUUGCUUGAUAUGUGGAGGCAAAAC